GUGGGGAAUAUUGCACAAUGGGCGCAAGCCUGAUGCAGCGACGCCGCGUGGGGGAUGACGGCCUUCGGGUUGUAAACCUCUUUCGGCAGGGACGAAGCUUCGGUGACGGUACCUGCAGAAGAAGCACCGGCUAACUACGUGCCAGCAGCCGCGGUAAUACGUAGGGUGCGAGCGUUGUCCGGAAUUAUUGGGCGUAAAGAGCUCGUAGGCGGUUUGUUGCGUCGGCCGUGAAAACCUGCAGCUUAACUGUGGGCUGGCGGUCGAUACGGGCAGACUUGAGUUCGGUAGGGGAGACUGGAAUUCCUGGUGUAGCGGUGAAAUGCGCAGAUAUCAGGAGGAACACCGGUGGCGAAGGCGGGUCUCUGGGCCGAUACUGACGCUGAGGAGCGAAAGCGUGGGGAGCGAACAGGAUUAGAAACCCGUGUAGUCC
rnacentral:rRNA from 1 species